ncrna:unclassified sequences DTF3800-III RNA
UGAACGGUAUCGUAACACCUGGUGACUCUGGUCGCUUUAAGCGUCCUAGCUGUUCCUGAAAUGGAACGGGAACCCCAAGUAGACUGAAAUCGGAGCCCAGGGAGAGCCGUUCA